GUUGUUUUAUAGUAAAAGAGAUCAUAAUUAAGAAGAAAAUUGGAGAUGGGGUUGCUUUGGAUCUUAGUAUAUGAAUUCAUCUUUAAUUAUGUCGAAAAAGUACUGUAGGCUCUAAUGAACUUUUCGUUGUGAAGGUAAACCAUGAAUGGAUCUUAGCACACAAGCAUGUUGAUCAAAAUGGAAAUCUUCUCAAUCCUCUACUCAGCAUCAUCUAGCACUUGAAGUAAUCAGCUUGGUUGGUAUGGCAUCAAAUUGUUCAUCUAUCUCUAGAACUUAACUCAAAUGUGAUUGAUAUUGAUUGCGAAGGCAGGUUCUUUGUGGAUGAUUAUGUCCCCAUAAGGGUGUUCAAGAAGCGAGGAUGAGAAGUCAACGAGCCAACGACCACCACACCCUACUCAGAGGAAGAUACUAUGCUCAAAAUCAAAUACAAGUUUUCAGAGGAAGAAUGAGAAUGAAUUGAAAGGAAAUGAUAAUGUGAUUGACCCUAAAAGCUACAAGGAAGAAUGUGAGUUCACACAUAGAUAACUUGUGGAACAAGCAACAGUUGUAACUAACUUGCCUAGUCGGCAAAUUUGUUCGAGUACUCACGCCAAAUCCUAACUAAAUGGUAGCUUGUAAUCUCGUGCAACUGUGCUUAGCUUUCUUUUCUUGCAUCCUUUCUCAACUAUAAAUUAAUGUAAUUGUAUUGAUCUA